rnacentral:rRNA from 1 species
GAUGAACGCUGGCGGCGUGCAUAACACAUUCAAGUCGAACGGGUAGAAGAUGGAACCGAGGAGCAAGGAGACUUGCGACUGGGUUCUAUCUUCUGUCAGUGGCGGACGGGUGAGUAACGCGUGAGCAACCUGCCUUUCAGAGGGGGAUAACACAUGGAAACGUGUGCUAAUACCGCAUAACACAUAGAGAUCGCAUGGUUUUUAUGUCAAAGGAGCAAUCCGCUGAAAGAUGGGCUCGCGUCCGAUUAGGCAGUUGGUGAGGUAACGGCUCACCAAACCGACGAUCGGUAGCCGGACUGAGAGGUUGAACGGCCACAUUGGAACUGAGAAACGGUCCAGACUCCUACGGGAGGCAGCAGUGGGGAAUAUUGGGCAAUGGGGAAACCCGUGACCCAGCGACGUCGCG